CUGUGGGAUCAGUGGCGAACGGGUGAGUAACACGUGAGCAACCUGCCCCUGACUCUGGGAUAAGCGCUGGAAACGGCGUCUAAUACUGGAUAUGUGACGUGACCGACAUGGUCUUGGCGUUUGGAAAGAUUUUUCCGGUUGGGGAUGAGCUCGCGGCCUAUUCAGCUUGUUGGUGAGGUAAUGGCUCACCAAGGCGUCGACGGGUAGCCGGCCUGAGAGGGUGACAGGCCACACUGGGACUGAGACACGGCCCAGACUCCUACGGGAGGCAGCAGUGGGGAAUAUUGCACAAUGGGCGGAAGCCUGAUGCAGCAACGCCGCGUGAGGGAUGACGGCCUUCGGGUUGUAAACCUCUUUUAGCAGGGAAGAAGCGAAAGUGACGGUACCUGCAGAAAAAGCGCCGGGCUAACUACGUGCCAGCAGCCGCGGUAAUACGUAGGGCGCAAGCGUUAUCCGGGAAUUAUUGGGCGUAAAGAGCUCGUAGGCGGUUUGUCGCGUCUGCUGUGAAAUCCCGAGGCUCAACCUCGGGCCUGCAGUGGGUACGGGCAGACUAGAGUGCGGUAGGGGAGAUUGGAAUUCCUGGUGUAGCGGUGGAAUGCGCAGAUAUCAGGAGGAACACCGAUGGCGAAGGCAGAUCUCUGGGCCGUAACUGACGCUGAGGAGCGAAAGGGUGGGGAGCAAACAGGCUUAGAUACCCUGGUAGUCCACCCCGUAAACGUUGGGAACUAGUUGUGGGGUCCAUUCCACGGAUUCCGUGACGCAGCUAACGCAUUAAGUUCCCCGCCUGGGGAGUACGGCCGCAAGGCUAAAACUCAAAGGAAUUGACGGGGACCCGCACAAGCGGCGGAGCAUGCGGAUUAAUUCGAUGCAACGCGAAGAACCUUACCAAGGCUUGACAUAUACGAGAACGGGCCAGAAAUGGUCAACUCUUUGGACACUCGUAAACAGGUGGUGCAUGGGUUGUCGUCAGCUCGUGUCGUGAGAUGUUGGGUUAAGUCCCGCAACGAGCGCAACCCUCGUUCUAUGUUGCCAGCACGUAAUGGUGGGAACUCAUGGGAUACUGCCGGAGUCAACUCGGAGGAAGGUGGGGAUGACGUCAAAUCAUCAUGCCCCUUAUGUCUUGGGCUUCACGCAUGCCUACAAUGGCCGGUACAAAGGGCUGCAAUACCGUGAGGUGAAGCGAAUCCCAAAAAGGCCCGGCUCCCAAGUCUCGGAAUGUAGAGGUCUGCAACUCGACCUCAUGAAGUCGGAGUCGCUAGUAAUCGCAGAUCAGCAACGCUGCGGUGAAUACGUUCCCGGGUCUUGUACACACCGCCCGUCAAGUCAUGAAAGUCGGUAACACCUGAAG
rnacentral:rRNA from 1 species